GAUGAACGCUGGCGGCGUGCUUAACACAUGCAAGUCGAACGGAAAGGCCAUGCUUUUGUGGGGUGCUCGAGUGGCGAACGGGUGAGUAACACGUGUGUAACAUGCACUUGACUUUGGGAUAACUUCAGGAAACUGGGGAUAAUACCGGAUAGGAGAUCCUGCUGCAUGGGGGGGGUUGGAAAGUUUCGGCGGUUGGGGCUGGACUCGCGGCUUAUCAGCUUGUUGGUGGGGUAGUGGAUUACGAAGGCUUUGACGGGUAGGCGGCCUGAGAGGGUGGCCGGCGACAUGGGUACUGAGAUACGGCGCAGACGCCUACGGUAGGCAGCAGGCGGGAAUAUGGCACAAUGGGCGGAAGCCUGAUGCAGCGACGCCGCGUGCGGGAAGACGGCCUUCGGGUUGUAAACCGCUUUCGCCGGUGACGAAGCGUGAGUGACGGUAAUGGGUAAAGAAGCACCGGCUAACUACGUG
rnacentral:rRNA from 1 species